GCACCCUAUGUGAGUCAGAAUGGCAGCGAAGAAUGCAAAGGAAAGGAAAACUGUCAUUGUACUGCCAGCACUCGCCUUCCGUGCCUCCUGCAAAGCUUGCUCCUCUCUUCUGACCUUUAAACUAGUUCUUUAUUUCAGGCUUUACAGAGGAGAAGAAAAGAAUCAAAGGAUCAAAUUAUCAAGGAAAUUACCAUAAUUUGUCACUCACAGCAACAUAUCACGUGCAUACUAAGUAGUAUUUUGAAAGCACCUUUUGGGAUAUGGAUUUUAAAUGAAGCUGGUUUCUUGGUCAGAAUGCAGCUGUUCACAUUCUGACAACCUGUCUCUGAACACCUCCAAAAGGAGGGAGGAAAAAGGCAGUCUCCAAAGGGCUCCACUCAAAGCAGACUGCUUGAUGGUACCCAGGAAAGAGCCCCCACAAAGCGACGGGCAUCCCCUACACAAGCACAAGGAUGAAGCCGACUGGGAAAGUAUUGCUUUCCAGCAAUGCUUAUGUUGAAAAAAAAAUCCAUACAGAGAAGAUUGUCCAAAAACAACGCCUUGACUUCAGUGUUCUUCCUCACUGUUCUAUCCCCUUCACCUGGACCAGUGAGGGCCUGGCACACAAUAGGUGCUGAAUAAAUAUUUGUUGAAUGGAUGAAACAACUUGAGAACAACUUAGGGGAGAAUGUUCUGCUCUAAGUAGUGAGGCCAGAGAAACAACUGGUAAGGCAAACAAGACAAGGAAUCAGUCACAUUUGGAAGUAAGAACUGAAUCCUCACAGAGAGCACCCAGGGGAGCAAUGAGAAUAUCAUUCAGAGCUUGACCACCAUGACUUGCUGUCCAACUCAUUUCCAGCCAAUUCAACCAAAUGACUUUAUUUGCAAGAACGCCUUUUAUGUCUGGACUUGGGGCAUAUAUUAUUUCACUCUGUUUCCUGGGAGAUAAUGUUUGCCUCUGACACAAUGACAAUGAAAGGAAAUGUUUUACUAUUAAUCUUAAAAAAACCAUGCAAGGUGGCAGGACGUAAACACAGCAAAGGAAACCUCAUUUUAUUUUAUCAACUCCCUCCUCCACAAGUCAGUUUUAUGCCCCACCACCACCCAAGGCUCUAAUUCGAUUACGAAUUGGACAAUUAAAUUAGGAAAUAAAUUCCCGUAUUUGAAACUAUGAUUGCCUUAAUCAGAUUCCUAGUUCAAAUAUUGCCCAGCAAACUUUAGACUUUCUUGUGGUGAUCUUAAUCAUCAUACCCUUUAAUUCUGAAAAGUUACUGCUUCCUUUCCUACCAAGUACAUGGUAUGGUUCAUUUCCCUUGACAUUUUUUUAAAAUUAGUAAUUAAAAUUUUUUUAAAUUAGUCUUAAAAAGGAGAAUUUAGGCAAUUGAAGAAUGGGUUAAACAGCAACCUGAAAUGAGUGGAAAUUAGGAAAGAUCACCGUGGCCAUGUUUUGGUCAAUAUUAUCUUCCAUCAUUUGUGACACACACACAGAGGGAUGCCAAACCUACAUAUUUUGCAAAAACUUCCCUAAAUUUAUACUAAUCUCAUGUUACCUUCCUAUUUGCCAUCCGUGCUGUCCUGGUGCAUUCCUAGCUACUUUGAAAUGUAAGCCUUUAGCUUUCUUAGAUUUAUCCUAAGCAACAGCAGUUGGAAAAUGAAACACUUGUAUUUUCCCUAGCAUAUGUUAAAGUAAACACAGAAUAUUAAAAUGAAUAUCUGUGUACAAUAAUCUCUCCAACACUGGAAUUCCUACUGGAAUGAGGGCCACAUGUUGGGCAAUACUACUCAGUUCUUCUCUUACAAAACAAAUGGCAUAACGUCUCCUGUCAAUAUGUCUAUGGAAAAUAAUAUUGUCGGGAAGUGUCUUAAGAUGAAUUUGCAUCAGGUCCAGAGUGUUUGAAGAUGGUUUUCAUUCUGUAGUAACUUCAGCAAAACAAACAAUUCUGAAACAGGUUCAUCCAUUUAUCUUGGCAGAGAACAGAGGAAGAACUCCCCUAGGCCUCAGACAGGGAAGCCAUUGAAGAAACUGGCGUCAGCAGGUCUUUCUUCAGUAUACCAAUAGAAAUGCCCACCCAAAAAAAAGGUCUGGAAUCAAAACCAAUAACAGACCCAAUGCCACUCACUCUUCCCCUGAACAUGGAAGUGAAAAGGAUAGGGUGUUAUUUAGCAUCUACAAUAAGUCUUCACGCCUCUGUGAUUUUUCAUUUGGAAGAGUGUUAGGAGAAUAGUAAAUUAAUUUCUCCUCAAGAGUUUCAGUCUCUUGUGAGAACUGACACUCCUAACUCAACUUCUUCAGAAAGCCAUAAAAAUGCAUCAGUUCUAAACAGAGGGAAGAAAGUUAAUAUUUAAAGAACCAGUUAUGAACCAAUUAGCCUUGGUUUAACAAGAGCUAACAUUUACUGAGUACCUAAAGUAUAUCAAGAACUAUGCUAUGCAAUGUUCCAGCCAAAUCUCACCUGUUAUAAUCAUCACAAUGCCCCAAUAGGGAGGUUAUGUUAUUGCUGCCUUUUUACAGAUGAAAGAACAUUGAAGAAUUCCAGACACUAUAGAAACUCACUGUUUGCUGCUUCCAGACCAGAAUCUUUUGAUCACCACAUAUAUACAAACCUUCAGUCAGUCCUGUCAUAGCAUCUGCUUUUUCAGAUUCCCGAAUUAAUUCUUCCUGGUUUUAGUAGACAUUAUCCUAUUUGUUACUUCACUAAGAAGCAGAACACUUGACAGAGAAUUAAACAAAUGCAAAGUUCUAAGACUUGAAAAUUAAAACAUGAUUUCUAGCCUCUCCAAGAGGUAAUAAUUAUGCUAUAUUUAUUGUAUGCCAAUCAGUUUAUAUAAAUUACCAAAUAUAAUUAAAAAAUAUUCACAUCUGUGUUUAUGUGAGAGGGGGGAGAGAGAGACAGAGAGACAGAGACAGACAGAAACAAACAAAGGCAGACAGAGAGGUCCCAUGGAGUUUAGGUUACAGGUAGCUGUGAGUCUUCUCCCCUCCACCUGCAUAUGGCUUCUGAACAUUGACUUCUAGUUCUUUGUAAGAACAUCAAACACACUCACCGGCCAAGCCAUUACUCUGACCCCUCAAAAUUAUUGAACAAAAUAAUUUACGUAGUUCCAAUUGUCAGAUGGAGAAAUUGAAACUCAAAAAAUAAGGAAUUAGACUAAGGCUGUACAGGAGUAAUAUAGUUUGGCAUGAAUAUCUGACUUAAAGGCCCUGUCAUUGUAACUAAUAUGCUAGACUAAAUUGCCUCACACAUAUAAAUAAUCAUCUUAAAACUACUUGUAUGGGCAUGUAUGAUAGAUACCUUGGCUGAAUGCAAGGGACAAGGUAGAUCAAUUAUUCAAAAAUUGUCAUCCUGACUAGCCAGCAUCAGGACUAUCCGAGAACAUAUUUGUGAUGUAAACUAAACUCCUGGCCCACCUUAUUUCUACUGAAAUUGAAGACUGCAUGGUGGACAGCUUCUCCAAACAAGAUUUGCUGAGAGCAAAGGUACUGAUUCAUAGUUAAUAGCUAGGUACUUACCAGUGGGUUGCUUCAACAUCUCUUAAGCCUAGAGACAUGUUAGUAUCCCUUGUGAUUUUUACAUAAAUAAAGAAGUCUGGAUUUACUCUUUUGAUUUUAGUUCAGUAGUUCUGGAUGUAGCCUGAACAUACUUGUACACAUUAAAGGACAUCAGUUUCUAAUGUAUCGACAUGGUUGAAAACUAGUGGUUAUAAUGAAUCCGACUAAGAAAUAAAUUCUGUAAAGACAAUUAAAUCUGUCUAACACAAAGAGAGAAUAAACCUCUAUGGAUAUGUGUGCCAUAUUUCUGGAGUAUGUUUUUAAUUUUAGGAAAAUAAACAAUGAAGUUAUUGCCUGUAAAAAGUGCUGUAUAUUUAAUUUCUGGUGCAUUUAAGGACACAAAAUAAGCACAAAGAACUUUCAAGAGCUCAUAUUAUUUUGUUGAACUAAUUUAUCUCUUAAAUUUAUAUUUUAGAGCCUUUACACACAAGGACACUGUGUUUAUCUCAAUUAAUAAUUAACAACUGCUGUUAUGAUGACAUAUUCUUUUUGGUCUCAUGAAUCAUUAGUUUCUCCCAAAAUAAAAAACAAGUGUCUGUGUUUUCAUU